rnacentral:rRNA from 1 species
GACGAACGCUGGCGGCGUGCUUAACACAUGCAAGUCGAACGGAAAGGCCCUGCUUUUGUGGGGUGCUCGAGUGGCGAACGGGUGAGUAACACGUGAGUAACCUGCCCUUGACUUUGGGAUAACUUCAGGAAACUGAGGCUAAUACCGGAUAGGAGCUACUGCUGCAUGGUGGUGGUUGGAAAGUUUCGGCGGUUGGGGAUGGACUCGCGGCUUAUCAGCUUGUUUGUGGGGUAGUGGCUUACCAAGCCUUUGACGGGUAGCCGGCCUGAGAGGCUGACCGGCCACAUUGGGACUGCGAGACGGACCAGACUCCUACGGGAGGCAGCAGUCGGGAAUAUUGCACAAUGGGCGGAAGCCUGAUGCAGCAACGCCGCGUGCGUGAUGACGGCCUUCGGGUUGUAAACCGCUUUCGCCUGUGACGAAGCGUGAGUGACGGUAAUUGGUAAAGAAGCCCCGGCUAACUACGUG